rnacentral:rRNA from 1 species
UACGUAGGGGGCAAGCGUUGUCCGGAAUUACUGGGCGUAAAGCGCACGUAGGCGGCUUUGUAAGUUAGAGGUGAAAGCCCAGGGCUCAACCCUGGAAUUGCCUUUAAGACUGCAUCGCUUGAACAUCGGAGAGGUAAGUGGAAUUCCGAGUGUAGAGGUGAAAUUCGUAGAUAUUCGGAAGAACACCAGUGGCGAAGGCGACUUACUGGACGAUUGUUGACGCUGAGGUGCGAAAGCGUGGGGAGCAAACAGG